rnacentral:misc_RNA from 1 species
CACUGAAUAAGAAUAUGUUGACCGAUGCUAAUUGCUUCCGAACGGAGUGAAAAUACGAGAAAAAGAAGCAUAGAAGCCCCACCACGCACGUGUUUCCCAACCAUUCGUGGCCAAGGUCAGACAGGCCUUUUCCGCAUAACUAUUCCAUUGAAGAACCGACGAUACAUUGGGCCUGUCUUAGGCUUUAGGCUUAGGCUUAGGCUUUCCAGCGACAUUAUUUAUGGUUCGCCCAAUAUCUCUUAGGCCUUUUGCCCACGCUACUACGAUAUUAAUCCCAGCGAGAACUUGAAACUUCUCCGGUAGAAAUUCAUUGAAAAUGUUAAGCUCUCGUUACACGUGGAAAAUAGGAAAACACAAUAUGCCAGCUUUCGCCAGGCUUAAUGCGGCCAUUAAGCGGCAAACGAAGCUACGAAAUUCAACUCGCGACUGGAGAUUUAGCUAGCAGGUGCUUCGGAUUUAUGAGCAUUUAAUACGCAGACACCGAUGCCGUGGGCGCUCCAUCAACUUCCCGCGCGGCCAGAAACGAGAAUUAAUCGAAGCAACUUCAGCUAUUCCACCAUAGCUUCAGCGAACACCGAGCCAAGUUGACUGCUAAACCAACCGAAACUCGCGGGCUUGAGCCACGAAACUUUAGCCGCGAUUCACUGCAGGUGAUACCAUACGAUUACAACGCAAACAACGUUAACCUGUUAAUAAGAAAUUCGGUAGGUCAGCGUCGACGACGUUCAUGUGACAACGACUAUACCCAAAUCCACGCCAUUUCAUGCUACCUGACAGCAAACCAUUAGGUUUUGACCUGGUCUUUGCACACGGCCCAACAUUGCACUUUCCCUAUGACGUAGGACAAUCAGGAUCUUCCCCUCGCCCCUCAACACCUACAAACGCAACAUACAAAAACUGCUAGCAUUCGACCACGAGGCUGGUCUAGUGUACAGUUUGGCUGUGAUUUGAGCAACUAUUUUAACUUCGCUACUUCAUUGUAAUAUUGUACUUGAUCAUUUUCGCGAAUAAAAGCCUACAAAAGCCUAUAAAAGCAAGUUAAGUUAUUGCUCAACUACUCCUUUUUUUAUCCUUAA